rnacentral:rRNA from 1 species
GAUGAACGCUAGCGGCAGGCUUAAUACAUGCAAGUCGAGGGGUAACAUGGUAGCAAUACUGAUGACGACCGGCAAACGGGUGCGGAACACGUACAGAACCUUCCUUUAAGCGGGGGAGUAGCCCACUAGAAAUAGUGGAGUUAAUACCCACUAGUAAUAUUGUCUGGCAUCAGAUGGUAUUUAAAGUAAUUUAUUCACUUAAAG